rnacentral:rRNA from 1 species
UACGAACUGUGCGAACGUUAUUCGGAAUCACUGGGCUUACAGGGUGCGUAGGCGGCUAUUCAGGUCAGGUGUGAAAGCCCCCGGCUCAACCGGGGAACUGCGCUUGAAACCGAGUGGCUCGAGUCAGCUAGAGGUACACGGAACUUCCAGUGGAGCGGUGAAAUGUGUUGAUAUUGGAAGGAACACCGGGAGGCGAAAGCGGUGUACUGGGGCUGGUCUGACGCUGAGGCACGAAAGCCAGGGGAGCGAACGGG